AUGAGCUCAGAGAAAGAGAGAGAGAGGAUAGGCUCCGCGGCGAAUGCUGCGGAAGCAAUCCUGCUCACCUUGAAGAGCCUCUUCAAGCAAGACAAUGUUACUGGCGUGGCCAGUGUGGAGCUGUGGGUGCUGUUGACGACGGUGCUACUGGUGUGGAGGUUCGUCCUCGACUUCUCCGGGCCAUGGUUUGGGAAGCCGAGCAGGAUGGUUGCUGUGGUCACCUUGGAGAUACUCAACCAAAACUUGGUGAUCUACACCAUGGGACUGAUGCAACUAUCGGGUGUGAAGGUGAACGACUACUUCCAGGUGUGGGCGGUUCUGCUUGUCACCCUGCAGUACAGCGUCAAGGUCGGGCGGCCAUACACCCGGUCCAAGCAGGUCCCAAUGCUGGAUCUGAUGUCCUCCUUCUGGUCCGCCAAUCUCCUCCGGGUGCAGACCUUCAACCUCCUCCGGUUCCCCCUCUGGUUGAUCUGGUCCCUGAAUGCGGUUCGCAUCAUUGUGCUCUUCCUCACCACCGGCAAAGGGGAGACUAACAACCAAGAGAGCAUGCGGCUGGUGAGUGACUACAUGAGCUAUGAGGGCGAUCUAUCUGCUGGCGGUGACCCGCAGGUAUCAGAAUCAGACAUGAGGGGGUGCAAGUACCUGGUGCAUGGGGAGCACCGGGUGUUGAAGGAGAUACAAGAAGGCCCGCGAGGGGGAACAAGAACACUGUUUUCUUGCUUCAGAAGGAAGAGGGAAAUACGCGGGUCUGACAGGAGCUACAAGAUUCGGCUGGAUCCAGAUGGAGUCCACAAGAAUCAGCUCGUCACAGUGGACAAGAUAUGGCACGGCAGCAGCAACGGCAGGUUGUUGGGAGACGCAGAAGACCCUAACAAACAGCGCAAGGACCUGUGCCUCUCCUUCUCGCUGUACAAGCUGCUGCGCCGUCAGUUCUAUGAUCUCCCAGUGCAUGAGCUGAAGAGGCCGCAGGGGAAGGAGAAGAUCCGCAAGCUCGUCUUCGACUACAUCCUCAACGACUGCGAGAGGGCGUUCCGCAUCGUAGGGGUGGAGCUGUCCUUCCUCCAAGACCUGUUCUACAGCAAGCACGCCGCCGUGUUUGCCGGCGGACUAAUGGUGCCGCUCCGAAGCCUGCUGCUGUCGCUGUCUUUGGCCACGGCGACAGGGUACAUCGCGUAUCCUGCCCGGCGCAUACCCGAGCGGAUGGAUCCAGCGGACCGGAACAGGAUCACACACGGCGUGUUCAUCACACGCCUCAUGGUCGGCAUCAUCGUUCUCAAGGAGCUCCUGGAAAUUGUUCUCUAUGUGCUGUCACGGUGGGCCAAGGUUCUGGUGCUGUGCAAGUACCUCCAGCAUCGGUGCCUGCGGCGUCCGGUGGUGGAGAUGGCGAUGAGAUUCAUGCUCUUUUCCGGUAGCAGAGCCAAAUGGAGUCAGACCAUCAGGCAGCAGAACCUUCUUGUUGGUGCUACAACCAGUGUUCUGAGGCCAACAGGUGUGCUGCCUCCGCUUACAUGGACGCUGGUGCUCCGUCGAGGGGUAGUUACCGGAAAAACCGCCCUCAAGGAUUACACCAAGAAUGCGAUAUUAGAAUCGCUCAAGAAGUUGGAGAAGUCGGCUCAAAAAAAGAAGUUGGAGAACUCAGCUCAAAAAAAGAAGUUGGAGAACUUGGACAAGAAGGAAGGGCUAGCGAUGGAUAACUACUUCUCAAAUGCCUUCAAAUCAGACAAGAGGGUGGUGAAGUGGCCAAGAAACCUCAAGGUAGACACCCACAUCAUACUGGUCUGGCACAUCGCCACCAGCCUCUGCGAGAUCUACUUCCACAACAAAGUCCAGAACCUCAGGGCUGUGCGGCGACCGCAGCCUUUCGUGCAGGAUCCAAAUUGGAUUCGCAACGAACGGUUUGAGCAGUACGCGACUGCAGCCACCUUAUCCAACUAUUGUGCGUAUCUGGUCAGGAAGGCACUGGUGCCGGACAAUCCCAUUGUCGCCGGAAUGGUCCUUGAUGAGGUAAUCAAAGAAAUUAACCACCUUAGUUCCAAGUUCAGUAUCAAGCCUCGACUCAUGCAACUGCAAGACGUGUACAAGAGCCUUAUGGAGACAGUCGACAAACCAUGCACGAACCGUGAUCACUAUCAGAUCUUUGGCUGGGGCGAUGACGUGGAAGCAGUAACACGAGAGGGAAUCGGUCGAGUGAGAAAAAAACAACAUGAACAAGGCCUCCACAUUGGGUGCUCCUUAACAAGGAUGGGUGCAGAGCUUGGGAUGCACCUAAGAGAGGUGUAUAGAGGCGACGCAGCAGGCCUUUGGAGGGACCUGGCCAACUUCUGGACGGGGUUCCUCCCCCACCAGGCCAUGAACACGAGCGCAGCCACGCACGGGAAGCACCUCGCCGGCGACAGUGAGCUCAUCACACACCUGUGGGCGCUGCUCUCACACGCCGGCUUCCACGGGAACGCCAACGACGGCGAGGAGGGGCAAGACAACGAGAACGCCCCUGAUCUCGACCUGGCAGUACAAAAUGCAUGA
rnacentral:rRNA from 1 species